CUCUGCUUCCUGACUGAGGAUGAGACCAGCUGUCGACGCUAUGGUUCGGUCAUCAUGGUGGCUGGUAGCAGCAGGGAAAAGUCUCUAAGACAGCUCCUUAGAGAGGAGCGUCUCCAGCCAGAUGAGAAGGAAAAGUCACAUCCAUGGUACCACCUGCGGUCACAGCAGAAGCACUAAGACCAACCAGGCCCUGGUUCCUACUGCCACACCAUGGAAACCCCCAAGCUGGAGCCCGUGAGUUUGUUCAGGGCCUUGGGAGAACCGAGGGGAAGAUGUCAAGCAUCUGGGCUGCCGGCCAUACCCCAAAGGUUGCAGAAGCAAGGCACAGGGAGUGCUCAGUGUCUGAGAUUCCUGUUGGGCCGGUUGAGCUUGUCACCUGCCACCUCCUCCUCACCCCAGUCUCUCCAAGGAUCAAGGUCAUCCCAAGAAUGAGAAACUUGACUCAGAACCCCACUGGGUGUUCUGGCCUGCGGAGAUCAGCUCGGCCAUGCCUCCAGGAAGUCAGCAGAGGGCACCCGGAAGACAUCUUCCUGGCACCGGCUGGAACUGGAUAGGUGAUUUACUGCCAUAUCAGCACCAAUGUGGCCAGGUGACAGCCACACUCCUCCUUUAUUUGACGUGGUGUGAAUGGACACUGGGAGACCCUCACUGCCUAGAGUCUGGUGUGGUUGCUUCCUGGGUGAUAUCCCACUCCGUUUGGGCAAGUUUCCUGCAGAUCAGCAUGAAGAUGAACGUUCUUGAGAUGAUGCUGUUCAGAUGAAUUAAUGACUUCAUGGAAUUCUUGAUUUGAUUUAAGUAGGUUUUUUUUUAAGAUUUACUUAUUUCAUGUAUGUGAAUACACUGUUGCUGUCUUCAGACACACCAUAAGAGGGUACCAGAUCCCCAUUAUAGAUGGUUGUGAGUCACCAUGUGGUUGCUGGGAAUUGAACUCAGAACCUCUGGAAGAGCAGUCAGUGCUCUUAACCGCUAAGCCAUCUCUCCAGCCCAGAUUUAAGUAGUUUUAGGAAGUUAGCUUGAGUUAAGUAAUUUGGGAAGUUAGGGUAGUUGAUAGAAAAUUUAGCUGGAAUCAAGAAUAGAAUGUGCCCCUUCCUCAUACAACGGCAAGAGCUGCAUGAGUUACAGAGAGGAACACAGGGAGCGUUCAUGCAUUGCAAGCACAUAAUCUCCGUAGCAAGAAAAAUAAGCUUGGGACAAGUUAAUGAUCUGAGGAAACAUUCACUGCAGGUGGGGCCUGAGUUCCUUCAUCUUGUAAUCUAGGGAUGAGGUAACAGAUAAAUGACCGAGUUACAAUAAAGAGCAUACAGCUCUCCGAUGAGUAUAAGAACAGAGAACAGAUGAUUACUCAGCCUAGCUGAUCAAGACGUCAAAAAUAAGACAUAAGACAGAUGACCUGUUCCUUAGCAAAGGCAAACUGUCCUCAGCAAACUACAAGAAGAAAUGUACUUCUAUAGACUUGCCCUGCUUAAACUUUGUUAACCUAUAACAAGAGAAUUAUUGCCUUUGGGUUAAAAUGAGCUUGGGGAAAGAAAGAGAGACAAGAAUUGCUUAGUUAACAUAAGUUCCAAAAAAUAAAUACAUAAUCAAU
rnacentral:lncRNA from 1 species